CGUGUAGGCGGUCGGGUAAGUGGAAUGUGAAAUGCCCCGGCUCACCCGGGGAUCUGCAUCCCAAACUGCCCGGCUUGAGUAUGGGAGAGGAUGGAGGAAUUCCUGGUGUAGCGGUGAAAUGCGUAGAUAUCAGGAGGAACACCGGUGGCGAAGGCGUCCAUCUGGCCCAAUACUGACGCUGAGGCGCGAAAGCUAGGGGAGCGAACGGGAUUAGAUACCCCGGUAGUCCUAGCCGUAAACGGUGAUCACUAGGUGUUGGGGGCAUCGACCCCUCCAGUGCCGCAGCUAACGCAUUAAGUGAUCCGCCUGGGGAGUACGGCCGCAAGCUUAAA
rnacentral:rRNA from 1 species